UACCAGCACCCCGAGUGGUCGGGACGAUUAUUGGGCCUAAAGCAUCCGUAGCCGGUUCUACAAGUCUUCCGUUAAAUCCACCUGCUUAACAGAUGGGCUGCGGAAGAUACUAUAGAGCUAGGAGGCGGGAGAGGCAAGCGGUACUCGAUGGGUAGGGGUAAAAUCCGUUGACCCAUUGAAGACCACCAGUGGCGAAGGCGGCUUGCCAGAACGCGCUCGACGGUGAGGGAUGAAAGCUGGGGGAGCAAACCGG
rnacentral:rRNA from 1 species